rnacentral:lncRNA from 1 species
AAAUGCUAUUCUCCAUCUUCAAAGAGGGAAUUUAUACCACUAGUUAAUAUUUCACCUAUACAAAAAAUACAUAUUAAAAUACAAACAUUAAUAAUAAAUAAUAAUACAAGUCAAAACUUAGUUACUCUUGUAUUCUAAUAACAAAUUCGUUACUAACAAGAAAUUAGUAAUAAAUAAAUCGCUCCACACUUCAUAAUAAAAAUUAAGAAAUAGAUGCAAGAAGAAACCCGUAAUACAUAAGUCACUUCACACUCCAUAUUAGAAAUUGAUAAUAAAUAAAUCAAAGGAAAUUUUUACCUUCUUCAUCGGGCUCUAUUUCAUCGAGUAAAGUAGUGUAGUCAUUGCUUAACUUAGAACUCAUACCACCUAAAAA